rnacentral:rRNA from 1 species
AUUGAACGCUGGCGGCAGGCCUAACACAUGCAAGUCGAGCGGUAGAGAGGAGCUUGCUUCUCUUGAGAGCGGCGGACGGGUGAGUAAUGCCUAGGAAUCUGCCUGGUAGUGGGGGAUAACGUUCGGAAACGGACGCUAAUACCGCAUACGUCCUACGGGAGAAAGUGGGGGAUCGUCGGACCUCACGCUAUCAGAUGAGCCUAGGUCGGAUUAGCUAGUUGGUGAGGUAAAGGCUCACCAAGGCGACGAUCCGUAACAGGUCUGAGAGGAUGAUCAGUCACACUGGAACUGAGACACGGUCCAGACUCCUACGGGAGGCAGCAGUGGGGAAUAUUGGACAAUGGGCGCAAGCCUGAUCCAGCCAUGCCGCGUGUGUGAAGAAGGUCUUCGGAUUGUAAAGCACUUUAAGUUGGGAGGAAGGUCAGUAGCUUAAUACGUUGCUGAUUUGACGUUACCGACAGAAUAAGCACCGGCUAACUCUGUGCCAGCAGCCGCGGUAAUAC